CUAGGGGUCCAUCCCGGAUUACCAACCCGAUGCAAACUGCGAAUACCGAAGAGUGAUACUCAGGAGACACACGGUGGGUGCUAACGUCCAUCGUGGAGAGGGAAACAACCCAGACCGCCAGCUAAGGUCCCAAAGUCUAUAUUAAGUGGGAAACGAAGUGGGAAGGCUUAGACAGCUAGGAUGUUGGCUUAGAAGCAGCCACCAUUUAAAGAAAGCGUAAUAGCUCACUAGUCGAGUCGGCCUGCGCGGAAGAUGUAACGGGGCUCAAAUAUAGCACCGAAGCUGCGGCAUCAGACGAAAGUCUGUUGGGUAGGGGAGCGUUGUGUAAGUCGAUGAAGGUGGAUUGAGAAGUCUGCUGGAGAUAUCACAAGUGCGAAUGCUGACAUAAGUAACGAUAAAACGAGUGAAAAACUCGUUCGCCGGAAGACCAAGGGUUCCUGUCCAACGUUAAUCGGGGCAGGGUGAGUCGGCCCCUAAGGCGAGGCUGAAAAGCGUAGUCGAUGGGAAACGGGUUAAUAUUCCCGUACUUGUAAUAACUGCGAUGUGGGGACGGAGAAGGUUAGGUUAGCAGACUGUUGGAUGUCUGUUUAAGCCGGUAGGUGGGAAGAUUAGGCAAAUCCGGUCUUCCUUAACACCGAGAAGUGAUGACGAGUCUCUACGGAGAUGAAGUAAUCGAUACCACGCUUCCAGGAAAAGCCACUAAGCUUCAGGUUAUUAUAAACCGUACUAUAAACCGACACAGGUGGUCAGGUAGAGAAUACUCAGGCGCUUGAGAGAACUCGGGUGAAGGAACUAGGCAAAAUAGCACCGUAACUUCGGGAGAAGGUGCGCCGGCGUAGAUUGUAGUCCCUUGCGGAUGAAGGUUGAACCGGUCGAAGAUACCAGCUGGCUGCAACUGUUUAUUAAAAACACAGCACUCUGCAAACACGAAAGUGGACGUAUAGGGUGUGAUGCCUGCCCGGUGCUGGAAGGUUAAUUGAUGGUGUUAUCGCAAGAGAAGCUCCUGAUCGAAGCCCCAGUAAACGGCGGCCGUAACUAUAACGGUCCUAAGGUAGCGAAAUUCCUUGUCGGGUAAGUUCCGACCUGCACGAAUGGCAUAAUGAUGGCCAGGCUGUCUCCACCCGAGACUCAGUGAAAUUGAAAUCGCCGUGAAGAUGCGGUGUACCCGCGGCUAGACGGAAAGACCCCGUGAACCUUUACUAUAGCUUGACACUGAACAUUGAAUUUUGAUGUGUAGGAUAGGUGGGAGCCUUUGAAGCAGUCACGCCAGUGAUUGUGGAGGCGUCCUUGAAAUACCACCCUUUAACGUUUGAUGUUCUAACGAAGAUUGCGGAACGCGGUCUCGGACAGUGUCUGGUGGGUAGUUUGACUGGGGCGGUCUCCUCCCAAAGAGUAACGGAGGAGCACGAAGGUUUGCUAAUCACGGUCGGACAUCGUGAGGUUAGUGCAAUGGUAUAAGCAAGCUUAACUGCGAGACAGACAAGUCGAGCAGGUGCGAAAGCAGGUCAUAGUGAUCCGGUGGUUCUGAAUGGAAGGGCCAUCGCUCAACGGAUAAAAGGUACUCCGGGGAUAACAGGCUGAUACCGCCCAAGAGUUCAUAUCGACGGCGGUGUUUGGCACCUCGAUGUCGGCUCAUCACAUCCUGGGGCUGAAGUAGGUCCCAAGGGUAUGGCUGUUCGCCAUUUAAAGUGGUACGCGAGCUGGGUUUAGAACGUCGUGAGACAGUUCGGUCCCUAUCUGCCGUGGGCGUUGGAGAAUUGAGAGGGGCUGCUCCUAGUACGAGAGGACCGGAGUGGACGCAUCACUGGUGUUCCAGUUGUCUCGCCAGAGGCAUUGCUGGGUAGCUACAUGCGGAAGAGAUAAGUGCUGAAAGCAUCUAAGCACGAAACUUGCCUCGAGAUGAGUUCUCCCACACUAUAAGUGUGUAAGGGUUGUUGGAGACUACGACGUAGAUAGGCUGGGUGUGUAAGUGUUGUGAGACAUUGAGCUAACCAGUACUAAUUGCCCGAGAGGCUUAACUAU
rnacentral:rRNA from 1 species